GCAAUUAGAAAAAAAUCUCGAAUCAUUGGGACGCAUAAUUGAGUAGAAGAACAAGACUAUCUUAAUAUUUAGAUCUCAAUUUGAUUUUUCUGUUUAUUUAUAGUUAUUAAAUUUUUAAGAUUGGUGCAUUAUAUAUGUUGACUGACUGUUAUGACGCGUGCUCUUACCCAGCAUCAUAGACUGAAGCCCGAAGAGGGUGGCCUGGCAAGUUAUAGUCAUCAUACUUGCAGCACGCAUAGUACAUUGGCUGGUACAGUGGUAUACGCAAUAGUUGUGACUAUUCAGAUGCACAAAGUGCAACACCCAAACGACCUAAGGAGGAUAACACGUUGAGGUACACCGCUUACAGCAAAUGUGAGCUCAUAGCCAACAGAGUCGUUCUAUGUGUUUGAGUGCAACCGGCUUAGUUAGCUAGAUGCGCAGCAUUCUAAUGGUGUGGUAUGUGGGCUGCUGCAACUGUAAGCUGCUCCCAGCAUCUCUACUCUCUAGAGAGUAACUUAGUAAAAAUGUUUGUAUACAUCCUGUUUUCAGGGGUUCAAUUCAGCAGAUGUGUUUAUAUCAGGGAUGAUAGAGUAACAAAUAAGUUGAACUAAAAGCUACAACAUGCCAUGGGUGCACCAGCAGAGGGUCCAUGUGAAUGAUGCUUGCUCUAUAAAUCCUAGAUGAUAUGCCUAUGGAAGUAAAGAAAGAUCAGCAAAUGUUUGGUGGUAGCUAGAAGAAUUGGC
rnacentral:lncRNA from 1 species